rnacentral:siRNA from 1 species
UAUGCUAUUUGUGAUGAUGAUGUU